rnacentral:rRNA from 1 species
GACGAACGCUGGCGGCGUGCUUAACACAUGCAAGUCGAACGAUGAACCACUUCGGUGGGGAUUAGUGGCGAACGGGUGAGUAACACGUGGGCAAUCUGCCCUUCACUCUGGGACAAGCCCUGGAAACGGGGUCUAAUACCGGAUAUCACUUCCACGGGCAUCUGUGGGGGUUGAAAGCUCCGGCGGUGAAGGAUGAGCCCGCGGCCUAUCAGCUUGUUGGUGAGGUAAUGGCUCACCAAGGCGACGACGGGUAGCCGGCCUGAGAGGGCGACCGGCCACACUGGGGACUGAGACACGGCCCAGACUCCUACGGGAGGCAGCAGUGGGGAAUAUUGCACAAUGGGCGAAAGCCUGAAUGCAGCGACGCCGCGUGAGGGAUGACGG